rnacentral:rRNA from 1 species
GACGAACGCUGGCGGCGUGCUUAACACAUGCAAGUCGAACGAUGAAGCCGGAGCUUGCUCCGGUGGAUUAGUGGCGAACGGGUGAGUAACACGUGAGCAAUCUGCCCUUGACUCUGGGAUAACUGCGGGAAACUGUAGCUAAUACCGGAUACGACACCUUGGGGCAUCCCAGGGUGUGGAAAGAAUUUCGGUCAAGGAUGAGCUCGCGGCCUAUCAGCUAGUUGGUGAGGUAAUGGCUCACCAAGGCGACGACGGGUAGCCGGCCUGAGAGGGUGACCGGCCUCACUGGAACUGAGACACGGUCCAGACUCCUACGGGAGGCAGCAGUGGGGAAUAUUGCACAAUGGGCGAAAGCCUGAUGCAGCAACGCCGCGUGAGGGAUGAAGGCCUUCGGGUUGUAAACCUCCUUUAGCAGGGAAGAAGCGAAAGUGACGGUACCUGCAGAAAAAGCACCGGCUAACUACGUGCCAGCAGCCGCCGUAA